UUAAUUUCAAAUCUUUUCUCUCUCAAGUUCAUCAAUUUCAAGUAACUAAAGAGGUACCUUUUGUAUUUUAUUUUGAUGAUUCAUCAAAAUAGAUCUAAUCAACUCAUUAUGAUUUCGACGAUGAUGAUUGGGCUGGAAAUAAAUUCAAAAGCUUGUAGGAUCUAUUAACAAUGACAAAUGAUAAUAUUUAGAAGACGAAGUUGAAGGAGGAUGAAAUUUCAUCUUUUAAAGCGAAUGUGUAAGAACCCCCAAAGAGGAUAGAAUUGUUGCAUCUGAUAUGUGGUGUGUUAUCUUUGAAGAAAAUGAUCUAGGAUUAACAAUCCUAGGAGGUUGGUUUCUGGAUAAAUGGCUACUUCGUCAAUAUAGAAUAGUCAUUAUGUAUUUGUUGACACACCCAUUUGAAUGUUUUACUAUUUUAAAGAUACAUUAAAUAAGGUUUUAGAAAGUUUCUUCAAAAGUUUUGUUGUUUUGAAUGUAAAUUUAAUGUAUUUUAAUUUUGAUCUCAAUAUGUAUAUUUUUCUUUA